AUUCAGGGAAUAAAUAAUAAGGCCGGGUAAGCAGCUCAGUGUUGUGGUGCGGCCGGCACUUCUGGUGCCUUCUGCUUCAAGGUAGCAGAGCAGAGCAGGCAGGGUCCGCCUGAGAAGGUAACAUCUCAGCAAAGACCUAGAACUUCACCAGCUUUAUACGGGUUUUCUUUUUCAGAACACAUUCCACUUUAGUGAGGCUUGGAAAAUAUUUAACUCCUGUAAUCUUAAAGUAAAUGGACUGGAAGUGCAGCAGGCUUGGCUCCCACGCGGCACUAAGGAAUCACUGGGAGAGCGUGCAGGGCCCUCCUCAGAGACCUUUCUCUAUUUUCCCAGUGAGGAGACGCAAGCCUGGUUCUGCAAUUCUUUCCAGCUCUGGAGUCUGUUAUGGUUCCCAUCUGAGCUCUAAAGGUAGGGGUGGGCCUGAAGACCCUCCACACUGCCAGUCCUGUGGACAUGGUGGGUGCCCCUCUAGCCACCACUGUCCUCCGGACUGUGCCACAUCACAAGCACUUACCGAGCUCCUCUACAAACCACGUGACAACCAAAUGCAGUGAAAACUGCAGCCCCCCAACCUGCUCCUGCCCAUUGUGUUUUCUGUGGAUCUGUCUGGAGUCCUUGGAGACUCCUGAGCAUGUGCACUGGCAGAGCUGCCUGACUCUUCCCUGGAAGAAGUUCAAAGAGGGUAGCCACGUGUUCAGACCAGGCCAUGGGGUCUGGGGGCUCCGCGACUCCUGAGAGCAAUUCCUGGCUGGACUCUGGCUCAUGUUACUGCCCCCCCCCCCCCCCCAGGUAACCCCGGGGGUGCAGACAACUUGUUGAGGUCCCAGGAGCGGGUUGUCCCCUAUGCUCCUGGGGACAUGGAGGAGAAGGAGGGUCCCAGGAUCCCAGUACUUGUAUGAGUCGCACUGAUUAGCUGAAGCCCAGAGGCUUCUUAAUCAUCCUAAAAAUACAGCCUCCCGGGAAGUGUGGCCUGGCUCUGCAGCUCUGGGUGGCUCGUGCUCUCCCUCCUGUGUGGAGGGGGCCUGGAGAGGUUGGGUGAGCUGAUAGGUUUCAUGUGCAAAGAUGAUUAUUUUCCUGUUCUCAAGUAACCCAACUUUUGCUAGGAAACUAGAAUCAUCUAAUGUUGCAUAGUGAAGUUCUGGGGAAAAUGUUUUCUUCCUUAAAUCUGAGGAGAGAGAUGUUCUAGGAAGGUAGUCUUCAGGCUCACUCUUGAUUCCAGAGCUGGGUUUCAGCACAUGCAGUCCCCUCUCCCUGAAGAGUCCUGGUGGGACCACUCAGAGGUGCCAGCUGAGCCAGUGCCACCUUUCUGGGGAACCCGGACAGUCCGCAGCAGUACAUUAUGCACUCCAGUUCUCAUAAGCCUCGCAUACUGGACACGGCCUGUCUGCAGGGAGGGAGAUCUGAGAAAUGUUAGUGGGAAAUAGGACCGCUGGUGUCCACAUGCAGGGAGUUGGGCUUCCUUCCCUGGCACUGGAAUCCUUGCUGUAACCAGCCGGCUCACAGGCAGCCGUGCCUGCAGGGGGAAUAUUAGAAACUGAUUCUUUGCUAGGUCUUUGCACCUUCGUAUUUCAAAAUUCUCAGACCCUAGGGUACAAGUAGCCAGAUAUCUUCACAAAUGUGCAUCCUUUUAGUUUUUGUUUUCCAGGAGGUGCUUGGAGCAAAGUUUAGUCCUUGGUGCCUGUGACAGACAGGGAUUUCCUAUGGCCUUGGGCUGACCAAAGCUGCUCAGCUCCUGGAGGUGGCUGUUUCUGGAUCUUGCUGUGUGGGGGCCUCAGGUCCCAUGCCUUUCCUCUGCAGGGCCUUUGGACAGUCCUCCGGGUCUAGGCCACAGCCCUUGGGAUGCAACCACAGGGACGUGGGUGUAGAGUCCUGCUUGCUGGGCCUGCAGCCUCCUAGUGCGCCCUCAGCGAAGAGUUCACAUGCUUUUCUUGGAAUGUCCUUCCUCGCUGGCCCCCAGAAGCCUCCUCUUACUUGCUCUGCCAAGUCCUCAGUGCGUUUUCCUGGCUGAGAGCUUUUCAUGUCGCAUAUCCAAGACCAUUCUGCAGCAGCCUCUGGUCCUCAGCUCAGCAGCAGAGGCCUUUGAUCUCUUUCGGCGUUGCCUCUCUUGGCUCUCUGUCCUCAGAACAGGCCGGUCUUCAAGACCGAGGCAGCCCCACGUGGAGGUUACUGUGCACCGUUAACGGGUGAUCUUUCUCCAUCCCAGGUCCCAGGUGUGUGAUGGCGGCUGCAAUCUGUCUUGUGGGUAUUAAUGCAAUCUUCAGUGGUGGCUCCUGUUCUCUAGCUGUUCUACAAAACUGGAGCAUGCUGGCUUGAAAAAACCUUGCCCAGUUUUGAUCCCUUCAAGACUUUGUCACAGCCUCUAUCACACAUCUGUUUUUCUCGAAGAAAAAAAUAAUAAAAAUGUUUUACUCUUUUACACUGUAUAAUUGUAAGAAAUAGCGUGUUAUUUGUGAAUGCAUGGUCUGAAAUUUCUGUACAGUUUGGAGAUAUUUUCAAACGAAACGUAAGAGAAGUCAACAAUAAAACCAAGAAAAGUGAGUAUUUUUAUACCAAACAUUUUAAGUAUGCUGGGAUGGACGAUCUUACACUGGUUUGGAUCACAGUUUUUGUUCUUGACUUUUGAAUGCUUGUAAUUAAAAAUAUCUAUUUUUUUCCUCUG
rnacentral:sRNA from 1 species